UAGCAGAUAGCUCAGUAACACGUGGCCAAACUACCCUGUCGAGCACCAUAACCUCGGGAAACUGAGGCUAAUAGUGCAUACGGCUCGAUGCCUGGAACUGGCUCGAGCUCGAAACGCUCCGGCGCGACAGGAUGUGGCUGCGGCCGAUUAGGUAGACGGUGGGGUAACGGCCCACCGUGCCGAUAAUCGGUACGGGUUGUGAGAGCAAGAGCCCGGAGACGGAAUCUGAGACAAGAUUCCGGGCCCUACGGGGCGCAGCAGGCGCGAAACCUUUACACUGCACGCCAGUGCGAUAAGGGGACUCCAAGUGCGAGGGCAUAUAGUCCUCGCUUUUCACCACCGUAAGGUGGUGGUGGAAUAAGUGCUGGGCAAGACCGGUGCCAGCCGCCGCGGUAAUACCGGCAGCACAAGUGAUGACCGCUAUUAUUGGGCCUAAAGCGUCCGUAGCCGGCCACGCAAGUCCAUCGGGAAAUCUGCUCGCCUAACGAGCAGGCGUCCGACGGAAACUGUGUGGCUUGGGACCGGAAGAUCCAGAGGGUACGUCUGGGGUAGGAGUGAAAUCCCGUAAUCCUGGACGGACCACCGGUGGCGAAAGCGCUCUGGAAGGACGGAUCCGACGGUGAGGGACGAAAGCUAGGGUCACGAACCGGAUUAGAU
rnacentral:rRNA from 1 species